GCAAGCUUGAGUCUCGUAGAGGGGGGUAGAAUUCCAGGUGUAGCGGUGAAAUGCGUAGAGAUCUGGAGGAAUACCGGUGGCGAAGGCGGCCCCCUGGACGAAGACUGACGCUCAGGUGCGAAAGCGUGGGGAGCAAACAGGAUUAGAUACCCUGGUAGUCCACGCCGUAAACGAUGUCGACUUGGAGGUUGUGCCCUUGAGGCGUGGCUUCCGGAGCUAACGCGUUAAGUCGACCGCCUGGGGAGUACGGCCGCAAGGUUAAAACUCAAAUGAAUUGACGGGGGCCCGCACAAGCGGUGGAGCAUGUGGUUUAAUUCGAUGCAACGCGAAGAACCUUACCUGGUCUUGACAUCCACGGAAGUUUUCAGAGAUGAGAAUGUGCCUUCGGGAACCGUGAGACAGGUGCUGCAUGGCUGUCGUCAGCUCGUGUUGUGAAAUGUUGGGUUAAGUCCCGCAACGAGCGCAACCCUUAUCCUUUGUUGCCAGCGGUCCGGCCGGGAACUCAAAGGAGACUGCCAGUGAUAAACUGGAGGAAGGUGGGG
rnacentral:rRNA from 1 species